rnacentral:lncRNA from 1 species
CUCGUACCACCUAAAAUCGCCUUGUAGCACCAGUGGUGCCAAAGUCCACCCUCAGGGAAACACAGGUUUAGAUGAAUAAAUGAGGGAGCGAGUGAAUGGAUGCUGACUCCAUGCAAGCCCCUGGGAAGAAAGAAACGAGCAAGUGAGGGGCGGCUUCCCCGGGGAAACCGGAACGGCAAACAGCGGCACCGGCCAGGGCAGAGCCGCGCACCGCCCUGAGCGCGAACGUGGGAGCUCCGGAUGCAGACCCGGGGCGCGGCGAGGACCGCGGGCGAAGGCGCGGGCACGGGAGCGGCCAGGCCUGGCCGCGUGGCUGGCCGGGCACGCGCUCCGAGGGCGCGCUCCUGGCGGCGGCGCGCGGGGCCGCGGCGGCGGGCGAGGGCUUCCGGUGGCGCGGAGGCGGCCCUGCGCGGGUCCGGGAGCGGCGGCCCGGGGAGCGCAUUUGUCACCAGUUGGAAUUAACUGUGUUGGGGCCGGCCCGGUGGCGCAGCGAAUGAAAUGGGCAUUGAGACCCUACCACGCAAGCCGUCGUUAGGUGCAUUCAGCUGGACUGUGGUCAUGGGUGGAACCAAACUUCUGCUUGAGGUUAAAGGAUUCAGCUUUCUGAUUUGUAAUUUGGUCUCCUGCCUGGCGACGCCCAUAAGAAAGGAAUGCUGAGUGUGGAGGACCAGCCCAAAGCCAAACGACUGGGUAAAUGUGCUGUGUAGGGUGAUGGCCCUUGGCAGACAUGUCCUCUCUGGCCUCCCCAGGGUCAGCAGUGUGUUGUAGUCAGGCCCAACCCCCACUUCCACGCUGUGUCAUCUUGGACAAGGCACUUGAUUCUCUGAGCGACUUUACAAAAUAGGGGACAUUUUCUUGGAGGGCUGAAAUUAAGAUUUGCUAUCUAACAAUGCAUGGAAAGCCCAGUGUCUGUCACAUAAUGGGCACUCAGUCAUGUCCCCCGUCAGUGACGUUGACAGGCUGUUUCACACCAGCCUGGCCCUUAC